CUAAUAUACAAGCUUUGAUUUAGCAGGCGGUGAGAAUGUAACGCCCCCGCUAACUGUCGUAUUUUCAAAUACCACGAUAAGAAUCAAGUUUUCUUAGUCUGUGUUCAACUUUAACAAAAUGAGUCCCAUGUUAACUUUCAUCUCUGCCAUGCUUUUAGUUGCUGUGUCCAAUGCCAGAUCUUUUGGGUCGAAUUCAGGUUGGAAAUUAGGCGAUAAGGGAUCAGAAUUACUGCACCGACAAAUUUACCAAACUCAUAGACUGUUAUCAGAUUUUGAAUACCCGUCCUCUAAGGAUAUUUUUACAGACUCAAAACGGAGCAGUAUUUCUUUAUUACAAAAUAAAAGAGGCAGUUUUAACGAUCUUAUUCAGAGAUUAUUGGCGCUGCGUGGUGAAAUCCGAUCAAAUGCUAGAAAAUCACAAAUGAGAUUUGGAGGAGGCAGGCGAUAAUUUUGACACGUGACCUUUAUGUGACGUCAUCUACUCAUCCACUGUGAAAAUAUGUGAAUCCAUCGAGUGCUUUAAAUCGGAAAACGUUUAUGUUUUAUUCGUUUAUAUAUAUAUAUAAUUUUUUGUUUUCGUUGGGCGUCUUGAAUAUGUUAGUUAAUCUAGUUAAGCAUUCACAUUCCUUUUUCAUACUGUUAAAAUUUACACCCACCGUCUGACAGCAUCCUCAACAAGGUCGUGCUUAGCUGAACUAUUAUCCUGACCUUUCACCCUUGAUUGAUUUUAUCCAAUCAGGCUUGGACAGGAAUAGUUUUAUCCAAUCAGCAAAUGGAAACGAAGGCUAAUAAAGAAGAUGUCGGGUCUUCGUGUAGCGUCGACCAAACAUAAUUUUAAAUCUAAACAAAAUCAAAUUUUAGAUAGAUAGGUCUGUUUAGACAGUGUUACCUUUCUAAUAAGACCGGUUCUAAACACUCCAUAUACCGGACAAUUGAAUGUAUUGAUUUAGCAAUGAUUUAGUAUACUUACCUGAGUAUUGCAUUAGGAAAGGUAAAAUUGUGUUAAAUGUCAUUAUGUAAUUAAAACCUUUGUUAUUAAAAUGUUAACAAAAUUAAGAA